UCUUUUUUCUUUCCUUUCUUUAUAUUUUUUCUUCUUCUCCUUCUUCUUCUUCUUCUUCUUCUUCUUCUUCUUUCUCUAUCAUCCCAUAAUAAUUCUUACUCUAAACUUUAUUUUUUCUAUUGUUCAUAAAGUAAAGAUACUACGUAUCAUUUACGUCACACGAUAAGAGGUACGCAUUAAAUAUCUCUUUUUUAGUCUACCUCUCUCCUUUUACCAACAAUCAAUCUCUAUGAAGAAUUGUUAUUAUUUACAAUUACGUAAUAAAAAUUUAACAAUGUAUAUUUAAUAUACAUUGUUAUAAGAUAAGAUUUAAUAAUCUUAAGGAAAAUAAUAUAAUAUAAUAGAAGUGUAAUAAAUUAAUCUUAUUAUUUGUAAUAUAUAACAUGAUUUUCGUUUCAAUCGAAAAUUUCUAAAUUAUCAUCCGCGUGAUUUAAUAAAAGGGAUUUUAAUAUAAAGGAUUGAAAAAGCGCGGGAAAAAUGAAAGAAUUAUUUGAAAUUCCAUAGAUGGAAAUAUUUAUUAUAGGAGAACGAUUAUAAUCGUUCAGAGGAAUCGUGAAUUAAAUCGACUUAUUAUGUAUAUCAGUUUCGUAUGAAAUGAUUCAUAGAUUUUCAUCUGUUCUCUAUACAUAUAUACAUACGUAUAUAUUUAUAUACAUAUAUAUAUAUGUGUUUGUAUGAAUUGUAAUUUGAAAUUAACAUCAAACGUAAAUGUUCAUUAAUAUUAACGAAUUCAUGUAUAAUCGUGUGAGCUACAUUUUUGUUACAAAUGAUCUCCAUAUUGUAUAUUCAAAUUAAAUAUUAAUAAUAAUAAUAAUAAUAAUAAUAAUAAUAAUAAUAAUAAUAAUAAUAAUAAUAAUGGAAAAUAAAAUUUUGUCGAAAAUCGUUCGAUCAGUCUAGAAAAUAAAAGGGAGAAAAAAAUGGGGAAAGGGAGAGUAUUUUCCUUUUAUAAUUUCAUAUUAACUUCUUAAUAGACACACAAGUAGCACAAAUAUAUAAUAGAUAUCGUAUCAUUAAAAAUACGACAUUUUCGUGAUUUAGAUUGCGUUCAACGUUCAGUAACAUGCAAAAGAUAAGAUUGUUCUGUUAUGUCUAAUUAUACAUUUGAAAUCAAAUAUGACUAUAUAAAUGUGUGUGUAAAAGAGAAAGAGAGAGAGAGAGAGAGACUUCUGUUUUAACGAGAACGAGCAAACAUAUUACCGAUAAGAAAUUAUCUUCUCAAAUAUUUCAAGUGCGAAGGAUAAAAGUAACUGUAUAAACGAUGAUGAAUAAAUGAUUUAUUAAAAAUUAUUCUUCAAAA